rnacentral:tmRNA from 1 species
GGGGUUGACUGGAAUUGACGGGAAGGUUAAAUCCAAUGUAAGCAUGCGAGGUGUUGUAAGUAUUACCUCUAAUAUAAAACUUGCAUAAUAUAUAAAUGGCAACUUAGCUGUUAUCACUCCUCGCCGUUGUAGGUUUGUUGCGCUUCGAAGAAAAGAAGAAGACGACGACGAACUCCGCAUGGCUGCUUAAUCGAUAGAUUAAGGGGGAUUUGUCCCGCUGGUUUUUGUUCUAUGGGAUCAGCAUAGGGGCAUCGGUGCAUGGAACUAGUGCCGCCAGGUGCGUGAUGGAGGCAUAAACCAUAACUGCGCAUAAGUGCAACAUCAGGUGUGUUACUGACCUUGGUUGCGCCGACAAUAAACAGGGACUAAGCAUGUAGAAAGCGUUGCGGUUUUCUUGUUCGGACGAGGGUUCGAUUCCCUCCAGCUCCAC